AUGGUGUAAAGACAGUAGAACAGCAUCAUGAAAAUGCCAAAAGAAAACAAGUUUUUAUUAAGAAUUCUAUGUUCACCUAAAAUAUCCUUCAGAUAUGAAAGCAAAAUAAAGAACUCUCAGAUGAAGAAAAACAAAGAGUCUACCUCCAGCAGAUUACUCUACAAGAAAUGAUUAAAUACUUUAGGCUAAAAUGAAAUGUAGCAUGUUCAGGAAUGAAGGGAAAAAAACAGAAAUAAUAAAUGAAUGAGAAAACAUAAAAUACUACUUUUUUCCUUUUUUUUUCAAAAUAUAUAUGACUGCUGACAGCAAAAAUUAUAAUAUUGUAUGGAGAGGUUUUCAAAGUAUGCAGCCAUAAUACAUAUAAUAACUGUAACAUAAAGACAGGAGUGGGGUGCAACCGAAGGAAAAGAAAGAUCUAUAUGGUUGUAAGCUUUCUCAAUUUUAGGUGAAGGGGUACAACAGUAACUCUAAGUAGGCUGUGAAAGGCUAGGUAUCCAUAUUGUAAUUCCCUAGGGCAUUAAAAAUUAAUACAAAAAGAUAUAGCCAAAAAGUCCAAAAGAGAUAUUAAAAUGGAAUACUGAAGAAUAACCCAAGAAGGUAAAAAAAGAGGAAUGAAAAACAAAGAGGGAAACAGAAGACAAAAAAUGGUAUACCUAAAGUCAUCUAUAUAAAUAAUUAAUCACAUGAAAUAUUAAUGGUCUAAACUCUCCAAAUAAAAAGUAAAGACUGACAGAAUGGAUUUAAAAAAAAAAAAAAAAAAAAAAAAAGGAAAUUCCUACAUGAACUGCCCAAAGCAGAAAAACUUUGAAUAUAAAAAUAUAGACAGAUCAGGAGCAAAUGGACAGAAAAAUUUACCAUGCAAAAUGUAAGCCUAAGAAGUGUGAACAGGCUAUUUUAAUAUUAGAUAAAGUAAGUUUAAGACAAAGAGUAUUACUUGAGAUAAAGAGACAUGUAUCAUAAUGAAAUAAAAGAAUAUUCAUCAGGAGGUUUUAACAAUUAUAAAUGUUUAUGUACAUAAUAGUAGGGCCCCAAAUUACAUGAAGCUGAAACUGACAAAACUAUAGGGACAGGAAACAAAUGACAGAGUGGGAUAUUUUUAAUACCCCUUCUCAGCAACUGAUAAAUAGAACUAGAGAAAAAAAUUAAUAUAGACAUAAAAGAGCCAAACAACACUGUCCACUUUAACUAUAUGACACUAAUAGAACUCUACAUGCAAAAAUGGUAGAAUAUAUAUUCUUUUCAAGUGCACAUGGCACAAUCACAAAGGCAGACUAUAUGCUGAGAGAUAACACAUAUCUCGAUAAACUUUAAAAGGCCGAAAUUAGGAGUUCCUAUUGUGGCACAGGGGAAACAAAUCCAACUAGUAAUCAUGAGGUUGCAGGUUCAAACCUUGGCCUUGCUCAGUGGGUUAAGGAUCCAGUGCUGCCGUGAGCUUAGUGUAGGUCGCAGAUGCGGCUUGGAUCCUGCGUUGCUGUGGCUGUGGCACAGGUCAGCAGCUGCAGCUCCAAUUCGACCCUUAGCCUGGGAACCUCCACAUGCUGUGGGUGUGGCCCUAAAAAGAAAAAAAAAAAAAAAUUAAAGACUAAAAUUAUACAAAAUGUCCACUGGAAAGUAGUAACAAGAAAACACCAAUAUCUGAAGGUUAAGUAAAAUUCUAAGCAAUGUAUGGAUCAAAGAUGAAAUUACAAAGAAAAUUAGAAAAUAUUUUAAACUAAGUGACAAAGAAUAUGCAGAUUAUCAAAAUUCGUGGGAUGCAACUAAGAUGCUUGCAUGAAAAUCCAUCACUUUAAAUACCAGAAGACUCUUGUCUUAAAAUCUAAAAUCAAUGACCUAAGAUUCCACCUUAGGAAACUUAAAAAAAAAAAAAAAAAAGUAAAUUAUAAUAAGGGGAAAGUUAACAAAAUAGAAAAUAAUUCAAUAAUAGAGAAAAUUGACAAACCCAAAAGUUGGUUCUCUAUGAAUUUAUAAACAAAAACAAUCAAGGAAAAAAGAAAAAACCCCAACAUGAGGAAUGAAAAAGGGAUUAUCACCACAAACUCCACAGACAUUAAAGAAUAAUAAUUUAAAAAAAUGCUAUCAAUAAUUUUAUGCCAAAUAUUUCAAUAAUUUAGAUGAGAGGAAAAAUUUCUCCCCAAGAAUUCAAGUUACCAAAAUUCACAUGAGAAAUAACAAAAAAUCUACAUAUUGCUAUAUCUAUGAAACAAAAUGAAUUUGUCAAAAGCAUCCUUCAAAGAAAAUUCUAGGACCAGAUGGUACCCCCGGUGAAUUCUAUCAAAUAUCCAAGCAGAAAUAAGACUGACCUCAUGCAAACUUUUUAAAAAUACAGAAGAGUUACUAAUCAACUCAUUUUAUGAGACAAGGAUAACUACAAUACUAAACAAGACAAAGAUAUUACCAAAAAAAAAUUAUAGACCAAUAUUCUUCAUGAAUAUAGCAGAAUAAUCCCAAAUCAAAUUUAAAUAUACAGCACACAUGAGGUUCCAUCCCAGGAAUACAAAGUUGACUUCACAUUCAAACAUUAAUUUAAUUUUUCCUUUAUUUUCUAAAUAUAUGGUCAUUUCAAUAAAUGCAGAAAAAGCAUUUGACAAAAUUCAAUACACAUCUAUAACUAAAACUAUAAGCAAAAUACAAAUAGUAGGGAAUUUCGUCAAGUAGGCAAACAUCAAAACAUCUACUGCUAACAUCAUACUUAAAACUGAAAGACAGAGUAAUUUGUCCUUGUCUCUCCCUCAGAGUACAAGCAAGGUAGGAGGCAACUUUCACCACUUCUAUUCAGCAAUGACUAACAGAAGGAGAAAGAUUCUUGUCUUUGGAAUAAAGAUGAGGGGAGCACAGAGGUAGCUGAAAAUCAGAAAGAAUGAUGAUAUUAUGUAGUACAUACCAAAGAAUCUAUAAAACUAUUAAAAUUAAUCCACAGCAUUCACUGUAGUCCACCUAUGAUACUAACAACACUCACUUGCUUCAAAUAAAUACUGGAGAAUGUUCCUGCAGAAUUCUGGUUAGUCUUCUCUCCUGGAGAAACUUUCCAGAGGCAGUAAAAUGGGACAAACUACAGCCUCCACCACUGGUUUCAGAUGGUUUCCGGGCCAAAGUUUAUAUUUACAACCUCCUCUCUGCUAGUCAUUCUAGAUUCCCUUCAUCUUUGGCUAAAAUUUCUGCUGGUCCAGAUGGCUGAUCAUGGGAAACGGUCAUCAGGCCUUUCUCAUGUCCAUUUACCAUUCAAGUUGUAAAGGGAGUACCAACAGACAGCAGAUCACGUGUGCCAAACCUUAUUACCCAUCAUGCGAUGGCAGCCCUACCUCCCCCAGAUGACCAGGUUCAGCCCUGUCAAAAUGGUGACUCCUUUCUUUGGAAAGGACCACCAAGUUCCAGCAGUAGCUGUGCCUUAAAACUGGACUUACAGUGUCUCUGUUGAAAAUGUUUCCCUUCUGAAAACCAGGAUCUUUUAAUACCCAGUGCUCAGAACUACACAGAUGGGAAGCAUAAAUUCCCCAGUGGAUCAUGGAUAGUGAUACCAAGUGGUGCCAUUCCAAUUUCCAUGUAUUCUUCCUACUGGGAACACAGGAGCACAGAACCUCAUCCUCAUCAGCUGUGCUGUCAGAAGACUAUUCUACCACUCCAUCAGGUCAGCAGCUUCUGGGUAGAUUGGUACACAACGGGAAAUACAGAUCUGUGGGAUCCAUUUGCUAUAAAGUGGGUCCUUUACUCUGAAGGGAUGCUGCGUGUCAGCUUGUACUCACAGUUCACUCUGUAAGCCCUCAAACAGAGGCACGACUGAGCCCCUCAAGUUGGAGUGGGAAACUCAAACUAAGAAUAUGAGUCAAAUCCAAUCAAAAGGAAUCAAGGUCCUUUCCAAAGCACAAGGAUUGGUUGAUUUCCUUGAAGGAAAGUUAGUCUCUGCCACUGUCAGGCUGGACUUUCAGCAGCUCAGCUGACAGAUCAGCACUGAUAAAUAUAAGUCCAUUACUGGGCCCUUGCAUAGCCCAUCAAAGGUAAUUUUUCCAAAAUACUUGUAAGCCAAAGGGAAUAUCUAACAGUAGUGUUUACUAAGUAAUCAGAUCCAAACAAUUAAUAAAAAUGUACAUUCUAACAACUUAGUAGCCAUGUGAAAAAAUACUACACAUAUAUUGAAAGAAAAAUACUUAUAUUUUAUUCUUAAAUAACUGCAUUUACUUAAUAAUAGGACAUGUGCAUCUGCUAGAUACUACACAUCUUCUCAAACUUGUGCAGAUUCAACAUACACCCUCUUUCUGUUCCACUGAUUUUUGUGCAGUGCUUUAUCUGUAUCACAGUAACUACCCAAAAUCCAACUCCAAAAAGAUACAUCAUCAGAAGCAAUACAGCAUGAUCUAACGUCAAGACUGGGAAUUACCUCAACUAAGCAGUUUGUGACAGAUGCUUCUGUGUUUCCUUUGCAAUUCUGAAAUAUCCCAUGAUAUUCUUUUUUGCCACUUCUUGGGCCGCUCCCAUGGCAUAUGGAGGUUCCCAGGCUAGGAGUCCAAUCGGAGCCGUAGCCACCGGCCUACACCACAGCCACAGCAAUGUGGGAUCCGAGCCGUGUCUGCGACCUACACCACAGCUCACGGCCACGCUGGAUCCUUAACCCACUGAGCAAGGCCUGGGAUUGAACCCGAAACCUCAUGGUUCCUAGUCGGAUUCAUUAACCACUGAGCCACGACGGGAACUCCUCCCAUGACAUUCUUUUAGGGAAUCACUGUGUGUGUGGGGGGGGGGGCACAUGCGCACUAGUGCACCACAGUCCCUCUCCUUCCUCAGUGUGUGUGUGUGUGUGCAUGUGUGUGUGCAAGUGCACCACAGUCCCUCUCCUCCCUCGCAGUCCCUCUCCUCCUACUGUGUGUGUUUGUGUGUAUGAGUGUGUGUGUGCAAGUGCACCGCAGUCCCUCUUCUCCGUCACAGUUCUCUCCUCCCUCAGCAGGCCCGACACCUCCCAGUAGGUUUGGUUAACUAGACUUAAAUCUAGUUACUGGUUUGGAGGGGAGAGGAGAGUAGACAGGGGUGGUAGGGGCAACAUGAUCUUCAAGCAACCAUCCUCUAGCCAGGAGAACAAUGCCACUUCCGUAGGCUCAGAGGACUCAGAGGAAUUUGGGGUUUCAAGGUUUUCCUGUGCAUCCACUCAGAUGUCCUGUCUUAGGAGACACAGUCCCAUUCCUUCCAGAUCAGAGCACAGACAUGGGCAUAGCAGACCUGCUCGGAAAUCAAACCACCCUGGAGAUUUGCUAUCCUUGAAAUUAAAUCUUGAGCCUAAUCCUUAGCUUAUUCUUUCCUCCUACUGCAGAAGAUGAGUUUCUUCACAUGGUGCCAAAGAAAGAAGUCACCUUAUUUUCUCAUUUUGCUCCCCAAUUACCUUCAGUUUUUCAUUAUCUUUCUCCAUUCUAUCAAUGUCACUCACUAAACAGCCACCUGAUUACUGUCUUUAUAAUUAAUAAUGUCACAAAGCCUCUCAAAAACCUAAGACAUUGUACAUCCUCUUCUACAGGAAUUGCACUCCAACUCACCACCAGCCAGUUUUAAGAGGUGCACAGCUACAGUGUGUGCCAAGUGUUAUCCGCAUGAGUGCUCCACCUACAACCAGUAGUGGGGUUCUCACUGCCAGCCAGGCAGCCAGUAGAUAAGAGAGCUCCAAAAUCCCAUUUUAAAGUCUACUUCCUCAGACCACGGCUGGCACCACAACUGUCUUGGCUAAGUUUCCCAAGAAAACAGACUCUGAAAUGGAGAUGUGCACACCCAAAAUAUUGGGGAAUGCCCUCCAAAUCAACAGCUGUGGGAGAGAAAGGAAGUGAGACUAAAGAAAGGAAGGAAUGAACUGAAACGCAGUCAGGAGAAGGCCUCGGCCAGUCUCACGGGAAGCUCUGAAGUUGGGACGGACCUUCAAAGCUGUCCUGCCUUAGGGCAAAAGGGCCAGGCAUUUACACUCCCACACAGAACAGGCUUCCGAUGCAGGUGGACUCUGAAGAAGAGGCAUGACUCUGAAGGAAGCAGCUCUGUUGGCUCAGAGCAAUGCCUAGAGAGGGACUCAGCUGCAAUCAGCUUUAGCUGCCAAUCUUCCCAAUGGCUAGGGAAACUCGUAUCUGAAUGGAAGGACAUGGGCUGUGGGCCACAGCACCCGCCACGCCACUGCUGGAUGACUGCACCAAAUCUGGCUAAUGAGAGGAGAGAAUUAAUCAUCUACCCUGCCUUCUUAGGAGGAACUAGGUCCACCAUCAGUUGAUGAAGGAAAACUCUUCUUUGCAGAAGAGCAUCAGGUAAUAAAUUCUAUAAUAACAGAAUUAUAAAAAUCAUCUUUUUAAAGCCCCUAAUGAAAUUAUUGACUCAGUCAAGGAUUAUCAAAGGAUCCUAAAACCAUUUGUUGGAAGAUAUUGACAGUGUGCUAAAGUUAUUACCCAUGAUUACCUGCUUACUGCAAAUGGAAAAAGGAUACAUUUACAGAAAAAGCACACAUUUACCAUCUUAUCCAAGUAAUUAGACUGAGUAUUAUUAAACAAUGAGGCAACCUGAAAACCCCUAGAUGGGACGCAAUAUGCAGCACUUAGCAUUAUACACAAAAUAUUCUUACCAAAAAAUG
rnacentral:lncRNA from 1 species